rnacentral:rRNA from 1 species
GCCUAACACAUGCAAGUCGAACGGUAACAUGAGAGCUUGCUCUUGAUGACGAGUGGCGCACGGGUGCGUAACGCGUAUACAAUCUACCUUUUACAGGAGGAUAGCCUUUAGAAAUGAAGAUUAAUACUCCAUAGUAUUAUUGAUUGGCAUCAAUUAAUAAUUAAAGUUUCGGCGGUAAAAGAUGAGUAUGCGUUCUAUUAGCUAGAUGGUGUGGUAACGGCACACCAUGGCAACGAUAGAUAGGGGCCCUGAGAGGGGGAUCCCCCACACUGGUACUGAGACACGGACCAGACUCCUACGGGAGGCAGCAGUGAGGAAUAUUGGACAAUGGGCGCAAGCCUGAUCCAGCCAUGCCGCGUGCAGGAAGACUGCCCUAUGGGUUGUAAACUGCUUUUAUACAGGAAGAAACCACUCUACGUGUAGAGUUCUGACGGUACUGUAAGAAUAAGGAUCGGCUAACUCCGUGCCAGCAGCCGCGGUAAUA